AUGCUGGAGAGGCGCACGCCAGGGACCGGCCGGGCAGGAACUGGCGUCCGCAGUCCCUUGGGCCGAGAACGGGGCGCGCCGCGCCGCCUGAGCCUCGCAAGAGAAAAGGCCGAGAAGCCGGGCACCUCCGGCCCCGGGGACAGGGACACUCUCGGAGCGCUGGGCACCCGGGACCCCGCGCGCCCCCUCUGCCCCGGCGCGCGCGCGGCCCCCGCAGCCCCCGCGCCGCUGUCCGCGCGCCCGGCUGGCCUCCGCCAGCCCUCGCCCCGCACCGGCUGCAGUUCCAUGUUCUGGCCUCUGUAACCCACUGCCAAACUCUCAGACAUCACUACUGACGGCAUUGCAUCACAACCUCAGCAAGUUUUCUUCUAAGUCUUGUUUUUCCAGCAAUUAAAAUGAUAGAUCCAAUUUACAUACCUCCCAGAGUUCAUAUUUAUGUACUUAUUUCUAAAUUGCCUUGUGGUUGUAUUAGGUAGCAAGUCAGAAAUUGAGCCUAUGUAUGUAUGAGAAAGGCCUGAAGACCAGCACCCACUGGGGAAGCUCCAGAAGCCCAGCAUCUUGCACUUCAAAGUCCUGCCCGAUCCUGAUGACCUUCCAAGGAGUCCUACCCCUUCUACCUGAUAACCUUCCAGGUACAGCCCAGUAUCUGCACUUCAGGGUCCCACCCGGGUCCUGAUGACCUUCCAGGGAGUCCUGCCCCUUCUACCUGGCCUGAUAAACAUUUUUCCUCUAAGGUGGGGCAUCGCCAGCCACGCUUCCCCUGUCUGAUAACUUCAGGGGGAAAAACUCAAAAAGGAAUGUUUCAUAUUUACACCCAACAAGUCCUUUGUUCUGGAGGAGAAGAAGGAGAGGGGGAGGGAAAAGGCAGAAGGCAAGACCCAUCCGCUUAGAAACCCCAGCCGAAAUGUGAACUGGGCACUCUCUUUCAGGUUCUGUCUGGAGAGGUGCCCAUCCGUUCUUACUGAUGUCCUUACCCUAAUAAACCUUGCUAUUUUGCUUUCCA
rnacentral:lncRNA from 1 species